GACAGAGGUGCCAAGCGUUAGGCGGAAUCACUGGGCUUAAAGCGUGUGUAGGCGGAUGCCUAAGUACCUUGUGAAGGCCCACGGCUCAACCGUGGAACUGCUGGGUAUACUGGGUGUCUUGGGUCAGCUAGGGGUUGCCGGAACAAAUGGUGGAGCGGUGAAAUGCGUAGAUAUCGGGAAGAACACCCGUGGCGAAGGCGGCUCUCUGGGACGGUACUGACGCUGAGACGCGAAAGCGUGGGGAGCGAACAGG
rnacentral:rRNA from 1 species